ensembl:lncRNA
GCUUGCUGUAAACGAGGCAGUCUUGUGUUUUGGAAUUGCCCACACCACGAGUGAGCAGAGUUUCUCCUCUCAGAUCUUAUGUUAAGUGUCUAUAAGCCAGAAAAUCAGGCAUCAUUGGGUCAAGAUACCAUCUAAAAGACAGGAGCAGGGAUCAGCACUGGAUGUAGUUGUGUGAAGCAGAAAGUGUCUUCUGCUGAGAGUGAGCAUAGGUAACAGUAGGAGAGAUUUUCAGUGAUGAAAGGGCCACAGGAUUUCCCACAGCUGCUGCCAGAACAAGCAUUUAAUGCUGUGGUGAGCAAUCAGCUCCCAUUUAAAAGGCUCCAUGCAAGCAAUGCAAGUCUCCUGUGUCAACAGCUGAACCAUCCCACUGAGAGAUUCCUUCAUUGCUGAGGCGCUUCACUGGAGAAUAACUGAGACCCUUUUCCUAAGCCAGGAGACUGUUACAGAUCCUGCUAGCUGGAUAUAUGCCUGUGCUCUGGAAGUCUUUCAGUGUCAGGGUGAGAUGGAAGAUUUUCUUUGGGGAUGGAUGAUUGGUUGUUGUGGUCCUAACCCUAAGCACAUUCAAAAGAGUAUUGCUGGCUCCAAAAUGGAUGCCUAACCAGCCCAAAGCACUCCAUAGGCAUGUGCUACACCCAAGGGAAAAUUUCCCUGAAGAUGAUUUCUCAGCACAGCAGAACCUGCAGUUA